rfam:Triticum aestivum genome assembly, contig: Triticum_aestivum_CS42_TGACv1_scaffold_472344_6AL
CAGGUACCCCCUUCGUCUCAAAAUUCUUGUCUUAAAUUUGUCUAAAUACGAAUGUAUCAAGUCACAUUUUAAUAUUAGAUACAUCCGUGUAUCUAGACAAAUGUAAGACAAAAAUUUUGGGACGGAGGGAGUAUUAU